AAUCAACGCUGGCGGCGUGCCUCAGACAUGCAAGUCGAACGCGAAAGUUUCCUUCGGGGAACAAGUAGAGUGGCGCACGGGUGAGUAACACGUAGGUAAUCUACCUUUGGAUGGGGAAUAACAAUCGGAAACGAUUGCUAAUACCGCAUAAUGCAGCGGCACCUAAUGGUGACAGUUGUUAAAGCGGGGGAUCGAAAGACCUCGCGUCUGAAGAGGAGCCUGCGGCGGAUUAGCUAGUUGGUAAGGUAACGGCUUACCAAGGCUACGAUCCGUAACCGGCCUGAGAGGGGCGGUCGGUCACACUGACACUGACAUACGGGUCAGACUCCUACGGGAGGCAGCAGUCGGGAAUUUGGGCAAUGGGCGAAAGCCUGACCCAGCAACGCCGCGU
rnacentral:rRNA from 1 species